rnacentral:rRNA from 1 species
AGUGAACGCUGGCGGUAGGCCUAACACAUGCAAGUCGAACGGCAGCACAGUAAGAGCUUGCUCUUACGGGUGGCGAGUGGCGGACGGGUGAGGAAUACAUCGGAAUCUACUUUUUCGUGGGGGAUAACGUAGGGAAACUUCCGCUAAUACCGCAUACGACCUACGGGUGAGAGCAGGGGAUCUUCGGACCUUGCGCGAUUGAAUGAGCCGAUGUCGGAUUAGCUAGUUGGCGGGGUAAAGGCCCACCAAGGCGACGAUCCGUAGCUGGUCUGAGAGGAUGAGCAGCCACACUGGAACUGAGACACGGUCCAGACUCCUACGGGAGGCAGCAGUGGGGAAUAUUGGACAAUGGGCGAAAGCCUGAUCCAGCCAGACCGCGUGGGUGAAGAAGGCCUUCGGGUUGUAAAGCCCUGUUGUUGGGAAAGAAAAGCAGCAGGUUAAUACCCGGCUGUUCUGACGGUACCCAAAGAAUAAGCACCGGCUAACUUCGUG